rnacentral:rRNA from 1 species
GAUCCUGGCUCAGGAUGAACGCUGGCGGCGUGCCUAACACAUGCAAGUCGAGCGAAGCGGUUUUUAAGGAAGUUUUCGGAUGGAAUUAAAACUGACUGAGCGGCGGACGGGUGAGUAACGCGUGGGUAACCGUGCCUCAUACAGGGGGAGUAACAGUUAGAAAUAGGCUGCUAAUACCGCAUAAGCACACAGCUUCGCAUGGAGCAGUGUGAAAACUACCGGUGGUAUGAGAUGGACCCGCGU